AUGAUCAGUGGACUUUCACCCAUAAGAAAAGGCUCUUGGGGACCGUGCAGCCGUGUUCCACAAGGCUGGUUCCCUGGCAGCGGCCCUUGGCGGGGACGUGGAAAGAAAAAACAAACGGCCUUCCACCCUCACAGCCGCAGAGGAGGGACUGGCAGCAGAGGCCGCAGCAGGCCUGCAGCAGCAGGAGCAGCAGCAGCCGCAGCAGCAGCAGCAGCAGCAGCAGCAGCAGCGGGAGGCUGGUCCCAGCGCAGACCCCAGGCCAGCGAAGCCCGGGAGGCAGAGCUACAGACGACAAGGGCGGUGGAAAGAUUUCCGUCUGUCUGCGAAGGGUUGAGGGGGAGCCUCCCAGAGGGCAGGGAAAAGAGCUCAAUUACUCACCGCCCUCGGCCGCUCUGACUGAUUUCUGCCUUCGCUUCUGCUCUUUAAUUGAUUAUAAACUAACCAGAAAUCCCCAGGGAGCCCUCAGCCUCUGCUGAGGUAGCCGUUGGGUUGGGGCACCGUCACAACCCGAGGAUGUUGUGGCUGAAAGGUAUAGCGAGUGACCCGGGGCUGGCCGGCUGUGUGACGCACUCCAGCAUACAUCGGAUGACUCAUAGAAGUCAGAUGGAAAAGACCCAUUAGGUCAUUUUUUCCAUCUCCCAGCCAUUGCAGGUUUGCUCUCUGCCAAGGUGGGAUUAUAUUCAAAUAUUUGGUCCAGUCUCGUUUGAACGGAUUCGAGUAAUAGGCUCCCACAACCUCCCCAGGGACCUUAAUUCCACAGGAUCAUUGAUCUCAGUCUUCGGAAAAUGUUCCUGAGGUUCGCUUUAAAUUUUCCUUUGCUCAAUUUCAUCCCAUUAAUCCUACUUAUUACCCCUCAGGCCACCCUAAAUAAUAUCCCUUCUUCUUUCAUGUUGACAGUCCUCCAAUCCUGGGGUGGGGGGCGGGGGGCAGAUACAAAAAUGUCUUCUUGGCUGGGCUCGCGGCCCUAAGUAUAAAAUGAAGACUAGAAGUAUUCUGAAUAAUAGCUUACCGUGUUGGGGGGACGAUGUGUGUCCGAUGAGAAAGGGUUUUCCAGAUUGCCCAAGAAUUGUUCAGACAAUCAAUGGCAGGUGUUUCUGGGUCUGACUUUACAUUCGAAAGAGUCUGAGCAGGACAGCAGCAAAGGAGAGAGCCCGGGACCUGUCAUACUGUCCCCCAACGUGGAUAAUGGGCCACUGUCCUCAUAGCCUUGGGGGGAGAUGAUUCUGUAUAAUCCUCUGAUUAUUUUUCUGCUGAGGGCAGGAAUCACUUCAAAGAGCAAACAUCUACCUGAGUCAACUUCUCUGAGCAUAAAUGUCCCUCCCCCUGGCCCGGGUCGUGGCAGACGUGACAGCUGGGGAGUCAGCCGCAACCCGAGUGGCCGCCAGGGUGGGAACCUGCCGCCAGGGUGGGGCUACCGACAAUACAAAUUCUCGGGGUCCAUCUCAGACCCACUGUGAUUCAGAAUCGAUGUCCAAAGCCUAGCGACCUACGUUUUUAACAAGUUUCAUAACAUUUGAAAGGCACAGACCUUGGGGUAACUCUAAUCCCACAGCAUUUGAGAGCAUCUUGGAUGAAACUGGGGAACCUCAGCUUUUGCAUCCGAAGUACAAGAGUUCGGCUGGCGAUGAGACAGAAGUCAGGAGUCAGGGAGGAAGUCAGUCCACAACUGAGAGCAGGAGUUGGCACUGUGGCUCAGGGCGUUAAGAACCCAACACAGUGUCUGUGGGGAUACGGGUUCAAUCUCUGGCCUUGCCCAGUGUGUUACGGAUCCAGUGUUGCUGCAAGCUGCAGCCUAGCUCACAGAUGCAGCUCAGAUCUGGCGUGACUGUGGCUGUGGUGUAGGCUGGAAGCGGCAGCUCUGAUUUGACCCCUCGCCUGGGAACUUCCAUAUCUGCACAUGAGGCCUUAAAAAGGAAAAAAAAGAAAAGAAAAAGAAAGAAGAGAAAAAAAGAAAAAAACUGAGAGCCAAGUGGAGAGGGCGAGCAAUUGUUGUUAGAAACCAAAGUGGGAGUUCCCGUCGUGGCGCAGUGGUUAACGAAUCCGACUAGGAACCAUGAGGUCGCGGGUUCGGUCCCUGCCCUUGCUCAGUGGGUUAAGGAUCCGGCGUUGCCGUGAGCUGUGGUGUAGGUUGCAGACGCGGCUCGGAUCCUGCGUUGCUGUGGCUCUGGCGUAGGCUGGUGGCUACAGCUCCGAUUCGACCCCUAGCCUGGGAACCUCCAUAUGCCGUGGGAGCGGCCCAAAGAAAUAGCAAAAAGACAAAAAAAAAAAAAAGAAACCAAAGUGCAGCAUGCAGGGUCUGAACGCAUUGGCUAAUCAGGGCAUGGCCAUUAACUGGAUACAAGGUCUGGCUGGACCCUGGCCUGUUUGAAUGGGGGUCUGUGCUAGAAUUGCCCACUUCUUCACUUGUUGUUUGCGGGUUAAGGCAAAUGCAUCGUACAGGUGUCCCUUGCUUUAUUGCACUUUGCUGCAUGGCGCCUCACAGACAGUGAGUCUUUGACAAAGUGAAGGUUUGUGGCCAGUCUCUCGGUGCCAUGUUUUCAACAACAUUUGCUGACAGUGUAUCUCCGUGUCAGCACCUGAUAAUUUUGGAGAUACUUCCGAUGUUUUCAUUAUUAUUGUCUUUGUUGUAGUGCUGUGAGAUUAGUGAUCUUUGAUUCGUUUCUAUUGCAACUGUUUUGGGGAGCCCCACACAAGGCACUCACAGAAGACAGCAAAUGGAAUCCGUCGUUGACAGCACAGAAUUUAGACUGUGACACUCAAGGUUAUAUUCGUUGAUAUGAUAAUAUAAUUAUGAAAUUAGUUGAUAUAAUAAUAAUUGACAAUCAACAAUGUAUGAGUUGAUAAGGCAGAGACAGGGUUUGAGAGCACUAACUGAACUUUUGAAAGAAGUUCCGCUGAGGGUGAAGUGAUACAAAUCACCACUGCGCAUUACAGAGGGCAGGGCAGGCCAAGAUUUCACAGGACGCCAGAAAAGUACCAGCCAUUAAAGGCAAAAAAAAGUUGAUUACUAAGCUACCAGCAAGUACCACUAUAAAUACCAUUAUAAGAGCUAAAAUAAAAAGACCAUUUCAAAUUUGAACAAAGAUGUAAAAUGACUGGAACUCUCAGAUCUUUCUGGGGGCAUAGAAAGUGGUACAGCCACUUUGGAACCAGUUUGACAGUUUCUUUAAAGUUAAACCUCAGACAUCUGUAAAUGACCCCUCAGCUCUACUUCUCGAUACUUACCCAAGAGAAAGGAAACAUAGCCACCUGAAUAUAUACGUAUGUACAUGAGCAUUCAUGUCACAAAUUCAUGUGUAUUACUUAAAAACUGAAAACAAAUGUCCAAAAAGCAAAUGGAUACCACAAACUGUGGUCUAUUUGUCUAGUGAAAUACUACCCAACAAGAAAAAGACCUGAAUCAUUGAUGCAGUCCACAACAUAGACGAAGUUCCAAGCUAUUGUAUGUUCAAAAGUCAGACACAAACAAGGACAUACUAAGUGACUCCAUUUAUAGGAAGUUCUGAAGGAGGAAGAUCUGAUCUUAAAUCAGAAUCUGAAUGGGAUCAAUGGAUGGCUAGGGGCAAGGACUAGCAGUUUACUGGAGAAAAGACAGAGGAAAUUUUUGAAGAAAUGGAAAUGCCUUUUAUCUUGAUUGGGUUCGUGGUUACACCGUAGUGUGAAAGUGUCAAAACCCAUGAAACUAUUAAUUUUAAAAGGCUGUAUUUAUGAAAUUCCCAUGGUAUUCGAAAGGUUAAGAACCCGAAAUAGUCUCUCUCAUGAUGCAGGUUCGAUCCCUGGCCUCCCUCAGUGCGCUGGAACCAGCAUUGCUGAAAGCUGCAGCUGCUCAUACCUGGCUAGAGCCCCCACUGCUUUUCAGCUUGCCUGUUCCACCUGUGCUCCCAUUUUCCAUGGCUUUUGUUGGAAACUUCUGGGUCUCCCUGCAGUACAGCACAGGGAACUAUGCCUAGUCACUUGUGACAGAACAUGCGGAUAAUGUGAGAAAAAGAAUAUCUAUAUAUAUGCCUGGGGUCACUUGGCUGUACAGUAGAAAUUGACCCAACACUGCAAAUCAACUGUAAUAACAAAAUUAAAAUCUUUUAAAAAAAGAAAAGAAACUUCUGGAUCUUUUUUCUUCCUUACCUGGGCCCCAGGGCGUGGCUGUAAAUCAGAUUCUUGUUACCUGAAAACUGGGUUUGCUUCCGGGUGGGUGUCAAGCCAAGAC
rnacentral:lncRNA from 1 species